rnacentral:lncRNA from 1 species
CUACCAACUCAGCAUCCAAUGGCGCUCUGCCAUGUGGUCAAACAAUGAAUCCUGUUAGGGAAUCUACUGAUGUUUUAAUGUUCAAUUUAGUGGGUCUCAUUACUAAUCACACAACGAAACCCACUACUCUACCAUAUGGUAGAACAACAUUGGAUUGUCCUACCAGCUCGGCACAAAUCCUUAUCGAGAAGUUGGAAAAAGUCUCGAGUACUCACACUGUAAAUAUAUAUACAUAGUAGUAAGAGCUAAAUAAACCAUGCAUCACAAAAUUCUGCUCCUAAAUUAGCAUCAAAAGUCCAUAAUUCAUGCCCCGCUGCAAAUCUGCUUAAUUUUCGGGAAAAUUUUAUAUGCCAGGAUUAUUAUUGACUUUUCGGUGAAUUGUGUUUUAAAGUUCCAAUGAGUCAUCCACUCUGAAGUAUAUGGCAGAUCAAUAUGCAAAAGCAUCAGUUCCUAAAGAUUCAGAUUUGUUGAUAGACACUCAAAAUUUAAAGGGUCAAUAAAAAGCAAGCUCAGCACAUUACUGAAUUUAAAAAUUCUUGCUUUUGUGUGAGUGGUGGUUGAUUUUAUUAUCUGCAUUAUUAAUUUGUUAAUUUUAUAGUAUAAAGAAUCACUUGUUAACUUGGCCUUCUAGGCUCUAUUUCAAUUUAACUCAUAAAAAAAAGGGACAGAAUUUCUUAGACGAGCUAAAAUUAGGAGAGUCCUCAUUUUCGGGGAAAAAGAAAAUUCGAUAUUAGUUAGGUUUGCCAUAAAUUAAGAUUCUCUUACUAUCUACUAAGCUUUUCAAAAAUUUUAAAUAUUUCAUGUUACGUGCCCAUUAAAAAUAUUAUAUAAUUAUUUAUUUUUAUAUUUUUAUUUAAUAACAACAAAAACCAAUCACAUGAAACAUUAUUAUACUUUGGAGCUUAGGCCACAGUACACACUGACGAGGAGAAAUCCGUGCCCCCUGGUCCUGCUAGAUGACACGAUGGUCCAUAACCUAACCUUCAAAAUUUUUAUAAAACCACCUUUUAAUUAAAAUUUCACUUAAAAAUAACUAUAGACAAAUCAUUUAUUAUAUUUUGAAUUUGA